rnacentral:rRNA from 1 species
UACAGAGGGGGCAAGCGUUGUUCGGAAUUAUUGGGCGUAAAGGGCGCGUAGGCGGCAUGUUAAGUCGGCUGUGAAAGCCUGGGGCUCAACCCCGGGCGUGCGAUGGAUACUGCCGGGCUAGAGGAUGGUAGAGGCGAGUGGAAUUCCUGGUGUAGCGGUGAAAUGCGCAGAUAUCAGGAGGAACACCGGUGGCGAAGGCGGCAUCCUGGACCGGCAUUGACGCUAAGCGCGAA